ACUUGAUGAGAUUUAUGCUUACUUUGCUUUGAAAAUUGACCUUUUCAUUAAACAAAGCUUUACAAAGACCAAAUAAGUCCUUAUAAACUUUGUUUCCAAUGCAUCAUCACACAUGUGACUUGUCUGCAAAUAAGAAUUCUGCAUUCCUAGGGCCCAGUUCUCUUUUAUUUAUACCUUUGAUCUCAGCACAUUUUCUCUGGAGGUCUCCAAAUACUACUGUCCUUAUUGGAUCUUACCCUAAUGCUGCCUAAUGCCGCCAAAUGCCCAUGUCCUACAGUCAACUGUUCCAGUGGGAAAAUAAUAUUUACUUCUUCCUUUACAAGUGGCCACUCAGAACUGACCCAUGACAGUAUUCUUCAUCAUCUUCCCUUUGUAAACCUCCUGCAUCCAUAAGUCAAUUUCUUUAGGAUGAAACUUUAAUGAACUAAAAUAUCACAAAUGGCUGUUAUCCUGUAUCUGCUAUAUUUGUCGUCCAUUUCUCAACUUGGUCUUUACAGUUCACAUUUAUUCAUGAUUAAUGUGUUUCCAGUUAGUACUAGUAGAAAAAAAUUCCAUUUCUUCAUGGUUCACUAGAGAAGAUUAUAAACCUUCUAACUUAAAAUUAUGUUCAUAUUGAAAUUCUGCCCAAAUACAAAUCCCAGAUAAAGCUUCACAUGUCCUGUUAUGUUCUUCCUUGGUGACCUCAGCCUACAGAAAUUUGUGUUUUCUCCAAGUGUCUUUUGCAUUUAUGGCUCCCAGCAUAAACUUAAUCACACAUAUUUAAACUCUACAGUUGUUCUCUGUGUAAAUUAUUGCCUCAGCAGUGCUUAAUCUCCUUGUCGGUAGGAUCUAUAUUAUCCUUCCUCUGUAUCCCAUGAAGUGCCUAGAAUACUACUCUGUAGGGGUCAAAAGUGUUGAUAGAUUUGACUUUGUAAUGUCAUAAAUGGGAAAUUAUAAAGAAUAUUUUAUCUCUUCAAUUGUUAGAUUUCAAGAGUUGGGUUCUUUCUAAACUAAACUCCUGGAAAUCAGAGAAAAUGUAACCUGUUGACAGACUCACUCAGCAUCCAUCUCGGUGCCUUAUUAGUUAGAAUGCAAUCUCAGUGAAGCCAGGGAUGUUGACCCUCCUGUUCACCCCUACAAGAUGGCACACAAUUUGGGUCCUAGACAAGUGCACGUUGAAUGAAAAAAAGUGAGUUGUACCAAAUAAUUUCUGGGAUGUUUUCCUAGCCCAUAUUUCUCUUUUUGAAAACAUGCUAUGUGGUUUGUUGGUCCCUAAAAAACUCAUGUUAAAAUCUUGCUCCCAGAUUGGUAGUGUUGGGAGGUUCAGCCUACAUGGAGGCGUUUGGGUUAUGGAGUAGAUCUUGCAUCAGUGGCUUGCUGCUGUUCUUACUCUUGCAAGACUAGAUGAGUUCAUGGGACUGGAUUAGUACUUGCCAGAAGGGGUUGUUAUAAAGCUGGGAUACCCCUCAAGUUUUCCUCUUUUCACAUGCAUCCACCUCCCCUUUGGCCUUCUGUGUCAUGUUGUGACACAGCAAAAAGGCCCAUGCCAGAAGCCAGGGCCAUGCCUACAAACUUCUCAGCCUGCAUAACCAUGAGUUCCAUAAACCUCUUUUAAAUAAAUUAUGCAGUCUUGGGUAUUCUGCUAUAGCAACACAAAGCCAGUUAGGACAGAACACUACUUCCCUCACCAAAGGUGAGCCCCAUAAGCAGAGAAAGCCCCUUUUAUUUUUGUCAUAACUGAUUAGAAUUUUAAUACAUGCUUGACCUAAACCAGUCAGUCAGAUUCCCCCUUAUUCUUGUUGAACUAUUAACUUGGGGCACUGGAGUACAUAAUAGGGAUGAAAGCUGACAGUAGAAGUGAAUUGCAGGGCUGGAAGAACCACAUGCUGCCAUAGAUACCAACGGCAUAGCUCUCAGGUACCAGAAGGAGAAGACAAAGCUGAUCUGCAGAGAAAGGUGAAGGAGCAAAUCAAGGGGAAGAGACUCAUAGGGCAAGAAUAGACAAGCUUUGCCCCAGGGCUCUUGUCUGGUCCUGCCUCUGAUACCUCAGGAGUUUGACUCAUCCCCUGCCCUUAGUUUCCAUGAAUCACUCCUGGGCAGUCACCAGCCAUCUCUCAGGGUUUCCUAUUAUUAUGUCACCAAACAUAUUUUAUGAACUCAAAAUAUUCAAUAAAUAUGUGUAAUAGAGAUUGAAUUGAGAGGACCAUAAAGGUGCUUCUAAGUAAUAGACAGAGGACUUGAACCCUGCUGUCAGUUGCACCAUAGGUUGUGACUGAGUGCAAGUUAAGAAUGCUGAACCAGAUUACAUUCAUGGAUGCUUCUACCUCUCAAUUUCUGUCAUCUGCCAGAGAGAGAAAUAUUUGAAAGUUGUUCCUGCAUGUAGAACAAACAGUAAACAUCCUGAAAAGAUUUGAUAGCCAGUCUACCUUCUGUCCAUCACCUAUAGACACCCUCUUCCUUCUCAAGUCAAACUCAGUGGGUCAGUCAUGUUCACUACUAUGCUGUUACGGAGAUGGCUACGAGAGAGUGGAACCACACUGUGGAAGAAGCUUCUGUCUUCUCUGACAAGGAAGAGGAGACAUGGGAAGCUGGGAUGUCUGUUGCUUUGUGAUUCCAUGAUAGACUUGACAACACAGAAACUACCACAAUGUGAGGAAGGUGCGCAAGGGGCUUCUGGAAGACUUUAAAAAGACUCAAAGGGAAGAGCUUAAGUUACUUAUUCCAAUAGCAAAAUGUGCUGUUAUCCAUGUUGUUUAAAGACCUUGCUCUACAAGUUUGUCUUUAUCAUACUGUACAAUUAUCUAUACAGUACUAAAUACAGAAGAGUGUUCAGUAAUGAUAAGUGUGUGACGAUGAGAUUACAUUAGGAGAGACAAAUAUGUGUUACCCAGUCAUUCUACCCACACAGACUAUGUAUGUAGAUUUUUUUAAAAAGUGACUACUUUUCAGAACACUUUCCAAACUGUAUUCUAAAUGACAAAUGCCCAGUUAGUUCAUAAUAUAUGUAGUUUAAAAUAUUUCAGAUCGAAACACAGGGAAAUGCCCUGGCAUGCUUCCUGUGAGAGAAUUAUUAGACUCCAGAAAGCAGGAGACUAAUUCAUGAUACUAAUCUAGAAAAAAGUGUGAGUUUCAAAUUAUAAAGCCAAGCUAUCAAGUGGAAUGAGGUUUAAAGCCUUUACAUUUUAUAUUUAUUUUUGCCUCACUUAACCAAAUACCUCAGAUGAGUGCAUAUUUUUAGCCUAAACUUACACCAUAAUUACCUCAAUUCUGGAUCACACUGCCAAUGUAUAACUAUUAGUAUGUUACCAGAGGAAAGUUGGAGAAACAAUUCUGGUAAAACAUUUUUUUAUGUGAGAGAGAGAAACCCUGUAAUUUUCAGCAAAAUGAUUACAUAAAGAGCUACCUAUAAUUUUAUUUAAUUGUACCUUUUUAUUUCAUUUUGUCAACCUAGCUUUUUUUCACCCUUGUCUCAAAAGAAAGACAUUACAACUAUGUUCAAAGCAAAGUUUUCAGGGAUAUUUACAUAGUUAACUGUUCUCAAUUUAUGUCUAAGAUUACAGCAUUUUAAACAACUAGCAGAGAAUGUAAAACUCAUAAUAGCAAUAUUUUCCUUAGGUACAGGUACAGAGAGACCUCUCCUUUCAAAUAUUGAACAUAAAAGUAUUAAUCAUGAGUUACAUAUAAGUAAAAUUAAUAAGACUGUACAUUAAUUAUGAAUAAUAGGCUAUAUGGCAACAAAUGCAAAUAUAACCCUAUAGAUUACCAUCAACAUAUCAAACUAUAUAAUCCACAAUAUGUUAAAAGUCCAUGUUGCGGCAUAAUAUUUCAUUGUACAUAUGUAUCACAUUUUCUUUAUCCAUUACAAUCACCUGCUGAUGGGUAAUUAGGUUAUUUCCAUAUGUUAACUGUUGUGAAUGCUGCUGCAAUAUAAAUGGGAGUGCAGAAUCUCUUUAGGAUCCUU
rnacentral:lncRNA from 1 species